rnacentral:rRNA from 1 species
AACGAACGCUGGCGGCAGGCCUAACACAUGCAAGUCGAACGCUCCAGCAAUGGAGAGUGGCAGACGGGUGAGUAACGCGUGGGAACCUUCCCUAUGGUUCGGAAUAGCUCAGGGAAACUUGAGGUAAUACCGGAUAAGCCCUUCGGGGGAAGGAUUUAUCGCCAUUGGAUGGGCCCGCGUAGGAUUAGCUAGUUGGUGAGGUAACGGCUCACCAAGGCGACGAUCCUUAGCUGGUCUGAGAGGAUAGAUCAGCCACACUGGGACUGAGACACGGCCCAGACUCCUACGGGAGGCAGCAGUGGGGAANAUUGGACAAUGGGCGCAAGCCUGAUCCAGCCAUGCCGCGUGAGUGA